GAUGAAGAACGUAGCGAAAUGCGAUAAGUAAUGUGAAUUGCAGAAUUCAGUGAAUCAUCGAAUCUUUGAACGCACCUUGCGCUCCUUGGUAUUCCGAGGAGCAUGCCUGUUUGAGUGUCAUUUAAUUCUCAACCCCUCCAGCUUUUUUAGUUGGUUUGGUGGCUUGGAUGUGGGGGAUUCAUUUGCGGGCCUCUUCAGAGGUCGGCUCCCCUGAAAUGCAUUAGCGGAACCGUUUGCGGUAAAACUGUCACUGGUGUGAUAAUUAUCUACGCCAACGACUACUGCUCUCUCAUAGUUCUGCUUCUAAUUGUCCUUUCACUUGGACAACGAUAUCUGAACACUUGACCUCAAAUCAGGUAGGACUACCCGCUGAACUUAAGCAUAUCAAUAAGCGGAGGA
rnacentral:misc_RNA from 1 species